CACCGGAUGCCUUAGUACGGCGAGUGAAGCGGCAAAAGCUCAAAUUUGAAAUCUGGCGUCUUCGACGUCCGAGUUGUAAUUUGAAGAAGGCGACUUUGUAGCUGGUCCUUGUCUAUGUUCCUUGGAACAGGACGUCAUAGAGGGUGAGAAUCCCGUGUGGCGAGGAUCCCAGUUAUUUGUAAAGUGCUUUCGACGAGUCGAGUUGUUUGGGAAUGCAGCUCUAAGUGGGUGGUAAAUUCCAUCUAAAGCUAAAUAUUGGCGAGAGACCGAUAGCGAACAAGUACAGUGAUGGAAAGAUGAAAAGAACUUUGAAAAGAGAGUGAAAAAGUACGUGAAAUUGUUGAAAGGGAAGGGCAUUUGAUCAGACAUGGCGUUUGCUUCGGCUUUCGCUGGGCCAGCAUCAGUUUUAGCGGUUGGAUAAAUCCUCGGGAAUGUGGCUCUGCUUCGGUAGAGUGUUAUAGCCCGUGGGAAUACAGCCAGCUGGGACUGAGGAUUGCGACUUUUGUCAAGGAUGCUGGCGUAAUGGUUAAAUGCCGCCCGUCUUGAAACACGGACCAAA
rnacentral:rRNA from 1 species